rnacentral:tRNA from 1 species
GGGCACAUGGUCUAGUGGUAUGAUAUUCGCUUUGCAUUGAUGGUUCAUCUGUUCAGCUGCUUGCGAAGGGUCCGGGGUUCAAUUCCCUGUGUGUCCA